rnacentral:tRNA from 1 species
AGCAGCGUGGAGCACCGGUAGCUCGUCAGGCUCAUAACCUGAAGGAAGCGGGUUCGAUUCCCACCGCUGCAA